rnacentral:rRNA from 1 species
AUUGAACGCUGGCGGCAGGCCUAACACAUGCAAGUCGAGAGGAGCGGCGGACGGGUGAGUAAUGCCUAGGACUCUGCCUGGUAGUGGGGGAAAACGUCCGGAAACGGGCGAUAAUACCGCAAACUAUAAGAUGAGCCUGGGUCGGAUGAGCUAGUUGGUGGGGUAAAGGCCUACCAGGGCGAAGAUCAGUAACUGGUCUGAGAGGAUGAUCAGUCACACUGGAACUGAGACACGGUCCAGACUCCUACGUGAUGCAGCAGUGGGGAAUAUUGGACAAUGGGCGAAAGCCUGAUCCAGCCAUGCCGCGUGUCUGAAGAAGGUCUUCGGAUUGGAAAGCACUUUAAGUUGGGAGGCGUUACCAACAGAAUAAGCACCGGCUAACUUCGUGCCAGCAGCCGCGGUAAUUC